rnacentral:rRNA from 1 species
UACGUAGGGUGCAAGCGUUGUCCGGAAUCAUUGGGCGUAAAGAGCGUGUAGGCGGCCUGAUCAGUCCGCUGUAAAAGUCCAGGGCUCAACCCUGGAAGGCCGGUGGAUACUGUCAGGCUAGAGUCCGGAAGAGGCGAGUGGAAUUCCUGGUGUAGCGGUGAAAUGCGCAGAGAUCGGGAGGAACACCCGUAGCGAAGGCGGCACUCUGGGCCGGUACUGACGCUGAGGAGCGAAAGCGUGGGGAGCGAACAGG